CCCCGUAAAGAUACCACUUUGACACUUCACUGCAGCACAAAAGACCCCUUUUUACCCAUUUGGCACUAAGGACAUAUGGGUCUUAUUGCACUAAUACCUAAUACUUAUUUAUCUAGGGGUCCUCAAACUAUGGCCCGCGGGACACAGGGAUGCGCUCUCAGCGGCCCCGCAUUUACUUAAAAAACGCAGGGGCCUCCGGGAAGGUGGCGCACGCAGGGAAGUCACUGAUGUCUAUGUGUGCGCCCAUAGCAACGGAACGCAGAGGAGCGGAGCAACGAUGAGGACAUGCGCUGGCCAGCUUGCCUGAAAAUGAGACCAACACUGGGAGAAAAAAAAUACUAUUCCUGUUUUUCCAUGGUUAGAUAUUGAAGGCUGUGAUGGAAAAACAACUGAACAUUACAAUCUUCCUAUUACAAUCCUGAUUAGACAAGUCAUUACUAAUAUGGUGGACCCAGAAGUUUAGUCGACUAAGAGAUAAAGUGAUACAAGCUCAAACUCAGAUGAAACUGGAUGAAGACUGGGAAAAUCAAUAGGAUUGUGCAUAAUUUUUCCAUCCCGAAUUGUUGGUAUGAAUAUGAGACACUGACUGAGGUGUAAUGUAAAGGUCCAUAACAUAAAUAA